CCUACGGGUGGCAGCAGUGAGGAAUAUUGGUCAAUGGACGAGAGUCUGAACCAGCCAAGUAGCGUGAAGGAUGACUGCCCUAUGGGUUGUAAACUUCUUUUAUAUGGGAAUAAAAUGUUCCACGUGUGGGAUUUUGUAUGUACCAUAUGAAUAAGGAUCGGCUAACUCCGUGCCAGCAGCCGCGGUAAUACGGAGGAUCCGAGCGUUAUCCGGAUUUAUUGGGUUUAAAGGGAGCGUAGGUGGAUUGUUAAGUCAGUUGUGAAAGUUUGCGGCUCAACCGUAAAAUUGCAGUUGAAACUGGCAGUCUUGAGUACCGGAGAGGUCAUCGGAAUUCCUUGUGUAGCGGUGAAAUGCGUAGAUAUAAGGAAGAACACCAGUGGCGAAGGCGGAUGACUGGACGGCAACUGACGGUGAGGCGCGAAAGCGUGGGGGGCAAACAGGAUUAGAUACCCGAGUAGUC
rnacentral:rRNA from 1 species